GGCGACAAGGCACGAAGCCGCGCAGUGCCGCAGCCCUGCCUCCCCUCCCGGCAGCCGCAGCCCUGCGCCCGGCCGCGCUCCGACCCACCGAGACGCAUAAGUUUACGAGGAAACGGGAGUUUCCAGAGCAAGUAUAAUGAGAAGCUCUUCCUUCAACCACAAAAUAAAGGAACAAUUUCUUGGAAAGCGAGUGACUACUUAUGAGCUAUGCUGAGCUCACUGAAGAUGCCAUGAAGUGAAGGAAAAUUGAAAUCGUGCUGGCUGUUCAUCAUGUAUUGUGUUCUCUCCAGUCUGCAGCUAUAAUGGUAUGGAUGAAUAGAGGCACCUCUGCUUCCAUGGAACAGCAAAACAGAGUAAUUUAGCCAGUAGGAAUGUCACUUCAGCACUCAAAAUUAAUUACACUGUUAAAAAAGACUUUCCAUUGUUUUUAUUCUCCAAAAAAACCAGCAUUUUAAUGGUAAAUAUUCACUGUUACACUUUCUCAUUUUAACAGUCAGAUACUUUGCCUUUCCAUAAGUCCUUGGCAUCUAUUUUAAUCAUGUGAAUAACAAAGGAGUAACAGGAUCUUUUUCUGUAAAUUACAUAAAAUACAUUCCACUCUGAAAGGUAAAAGAAAAAAUGACUUAAUGGGGCAUUGUCUUUCUGUAAUUUUCCUUUUAUAUCUGAUUUAUUUACUCUAAAUCUAUUGUUACUGAAUUCAAAAUGAGGUUUUGAAUAGAAGAAUUACUAUUAUUUAAAUAUUUUAACUUUUACAGUGGAUUCUACUCCUGAGGUUUGGUUUCUUCCAACUUCUUACAACCCAUUUCUAUUAAUAGAAGUUUUUCAGAACAAAUCCUGGCUGCCAUCCCAUGUUUGCAGCUCCCAUGGCUUUAAAUGACUCCAUCAGUAACGCUGGGGGUCUAAACCCAUUCCAGUUGUUUGCAGCUGAGUUCCCAAUUAUAUUCUUGUUACUUGAGAAUGCAGUGGAUCUGUGGUAUUCUCAAUUUUGUUACUUUUCAUGGCUAACAGUUAUGAAAAGUCUUUUUUUUUAAUAUGACAAGCACAUAAAACCUCAAAGACUCGAAGUAAGUGGAUUGAUUGAAUGAGAUAAUUUUUUAAAUGACCAUGUGGGUGAAUAGAAGCGGUGACAAGUAUUUCGUUGUCAUUUCAUACCUCAUCUGGCUACUUUGACAAGCUCACUUUGCAUUCAUUAAGCAAUUUCUGUUUAGCAGUAUUCGUCCUGUCAAAACAGCUUACAAAAUUUCACAGUAGUGAGAAAAAAAGCCUUGUAGAACAGGGAAAUAGUAUUUUUUCGUUUUAUGGGAAAGAAUAAGUCUGUUUCAGUUUUACAAGCAAAAGAAAAUGUAGUUUAUUCUGUACUCUGAUUUGUUAUUCUCUACUAAGAAAAUCUAAGCAUCCUUGCUGGUGCCAAUAAUGAAUCUGAGAAGAAACAGUAUUUGUUCUGAGCAGCUGACAAAUGUAAGGAUGAUGCUAGUGUUAUCCCCACUCUCUUGAGGUGAAUUGCAGAGGCUGUGAACAUGAUGGGUUAAUAUAAAGAUCCAAGGUAUGUUUUUACUUGCAUACUUUAUAAAGAAAGCAGAGACAUUACAAAAAUAUACAAAGAAUAAAAUAAUUAAGGUGUAUGACAAGACAGUUUGUUAUAGUUAACCAAAUUCUGGAAACUUGAAAUAAAGAGGAUAAAAGAGAAAUCAUAGUAUUUGUAUCCAGUCCUCAGGUGGAAACCAAUUUCACCCUAGCUACUCCUUUUUAAAGAGUACUUUUCAGGUUUCUGGAAAAAGGUUUUGUCUUUUUCUUUUCUAACUUUGUCAUGCAGAGUCCUACUGUGUCUCACCUAAUAUGUUUGCUGAAAGGCACAUCAGUGGCUACUUUUUUACCUGGCUAAAACCAAACAAGUUUGGUUAUGUUGGCAUUACUGCAAAGACUCACUGAGAGCAGCAAUGGCAGAACAUGGAAAAUCUUAUUUUCUUAUAGCCAGUGCUGUAAGAUCACAGCAAAGUAUGCAAAUUUGGUACAGGGAAGGGUGAGAGAGAGAUUGGCUUUUAUUUCUAAACCAAGCUGACAAUGUUUAAAAGUUUUCUAUAGAAGCUCAUGAACUUGUCAUGAACAAGUUUCUCUGUAACUUGAAGGACCCAUGCUCAGCUUGGUUAAGAACUUGCAGAGAAUGUUUGAUUCAAGCAUUUGAAUUUGACCUCAUUCUCAAGGUAGAAAACCAUUGUUUAAAAAAAAAAAAGAGCUAAAUGAGUUUAGUGCUGGAGUUACCCCAGGCAAUGCA